rnacentral:lncRNA from 1 species
CAAACCUAAUUUCUUUAUUGUUGUACUACUUCCUUUUCUAUAGAGGCACACUUCCUUUUAAUCCAACGCAGACAGAAAAGAGAAAAAAAAUCAGAAAAACUACAAAUAGUUAAAAUUUUAACAAUAUCAUUGUUCAAUUGAACUUUUGGUCUGUGAUUCCUGAAGUCAUUAAUUUAUGAAAUAAUUUCUGAUUCAUUUGGUUGAAACCGGACUUAAUUCUGUCUUGUGAAGAGUUUGGUUUGAAAUUCUACUUUUCCAUUGAGCUUUUGAAUUGAUUUCACUUUUGAUUGAUGAAUCUGGGCUAACUUCUGCUGCUGCUCAUUGCUAAACCUUCAUUUUCUUUUGGUUUUAUUUGUUCAAUACCAGGUACAUCUUUGAACCUUUUGCCAAUUUGGAAAUCUGAACUUGAAGCUCUUUCGAAUAUGUAGCUCCUAAAUCAUCAAAUGCAUAUGCAUUAAUGUGUGCCUCAUGGUGCAUUUUCCCAGGAUUCAUUGAAAUCAUGUCUAUUUAAAUAUGUAUUGAACAUGUUUUUAGAUCUUAAGUUUCGUUUACUAUUUUCAUUUAGCUUGAUUGAUUGUUUUUGUGAUGAGGUUAAAACUGUUACAAGAUAGUUCUUGUGGAGAUUGAAAAGUUUGUUGUAUUAGAAUGUUGCUCUUACUAGUUCAAGAUGUCUAGUGAGUGCAAUGCUAUAGAUAAUUGGUCCAUAGUUCUUUUUUAACCUAAAUUAGAGAUUGGUUUGGACAUCUGAACAGAUUUAAUACAUGAUGUUGCAAUUCUGAUGUAUGAUUUGAUUAGCUUAUGGUUCUAGAGCAAAUUCAUUAAAUGUGUAAGCAUUCAGGGAGCUUAUGCAAUAUUUCUGACUUUUAAAGGUGCAAAAGAGGUUAUGUGUUCAUAAGCAGGAAAUGAAUUGGAGUGAUAAUAUAUAUUUUUAUUUAUUUGACAUCUCUUUCUUUGCUUUUAUUUUUGUUUUUAUUGAAAUAGCUACUGCAUAGUGAUAGGGUUUAGCAGUUUUAUUGCUGAGUGCAAAUAUUACUUUGGGUGUGUGUAUAGACUCAACAUUGAAGUCUGUCCACCAGCUUUGGCUUUGGGUAAGUGUGGGGUUCUUUGAGCUUUGGACGUUUGGGCAUGUACAAGGAAGAACAAUGUGUCAGUGCUAUCUGGUCUUGUUGCUUGAGCCCAUUAGCGUAAUUAUUUGCAUUCCUCAACAGACUUGGCUGAAUCACAUGAGAAAUUAAAAUCUAGAAUUUCGGCCAAUCAAUCUGUAUUCACAUAGCUAAAACUUAAAUAGUUAGAAAGGCUAAUCCAAACUCUUGUUAUAUAGCUUUGAUUGAUUUUGUAAUUAAUUGAUUCUAUAUAAAGUAUUUGAUUCCCGGAA